rnacentral:lncRNA from 1 species
GCUGCUUAGAAACAGACUUGAGGGCCCUCAGUGAACGGGGUGAGAAAAGUAAGGGGCAAAGGUGGCAGGAAUCUCAGCUCGGCAGCUUCUUGGGGAUGGAAAGAAAGGGUGGGUGUCUGCAGAGGCAGAAUCAACAGGAUUUCAUGGGACGGGCAUCAAAUGUGAUUUCAUAGCUCACCACAUUCUAAAACUGUAAGCUAGCCUAAAUUUAUGGCCAAUCUAUAUGUAAAAGAAAAGGGAAAGUCAAGAUGUUGGUGACUUGCUUCAGCUUGAACAGACUAGAAGAGUUACCCCCAGCCCCAAAGGUGGAGAGUUGCUUCCCGGCUCCUAAAUGCAUUGUUAUUUCUUGCUCUAGUGAAAGGCCCAAACAAAUGGUAAAGUGGAGAUUUAUAACUGGAGGCUCCCAGACACUCCAGAUGUGCUGGAUGCAUGUGCACGUCUGUGGGACAUGGAAGAAGAGAGACAGCGGGUUUCUAGGAAGUCUGGAAACUGCACACUGCAGCCAGAUGGUCCCAACCUGGGGGACCGUCAUGGCACACUGGGGCAUGAAAUCGGAUUUUGGAGGGAGACGAGGAUGUGGUUUGGCAGAGGCCCAGAGAGGGGAUUCUGAGCCAGAGGUGUAGGGGACGAGAGAUGGCCUAGGUUUGCAAACAACCAAACAGAUGUGGGAGAGGGAAGAUAAGCACUGGAGUGCCUUAGAGCCAGUUCUUCCCACUGCUCAAGUUCAACUCCUGACACUUGGUGAUGCCUCCUAUAUGAUCCACCAUCAAAUAAAGACUGAGAAAUAUGGGCCCAUCUGGAGAC